GUGCGUGUAUGCUUUGAAAAUGUCUGCUGGGACAAAAAUAAGGUACUCUAUUAGUGGAAUGUUCCUCCUAACGGUUUUGGAAAGACUGAUAAUGGCGGAUGGAGGAUUGUGUGUUUAUACAGGAGCUAAGUGCCCUAGAUAGAGCACAAGUGCGCGCGAUGGACCGCAGUCUGGCAGUCUGAUGUGAGGGGGCCGGUGGGCGGAGCAGGGGUUUGUGUGAGGGGGCCGGUGGGCGGGGCAGGGGUUUGUGUGGGGGGGCUUCAGGUGCUCCAGUCCACUCAGAGGAGGCGCAAGACAGCGGGAUAAGCUGAAUAGAGAGAGCACAGUCCUACACAGCCACUCCCGAGCACACGGAAAAAGACAGACAGGGAGAAAGACAGAAAAGAGAGAGAGAGAACGAGCGCUCACAGCUCGGCUUUGUUCUAUUUGAAGUCUUCAGGGUUUGAACCGGUGCCUCUCUGUGAUCUCUCCUCAAAUCAGUUUGCUUUCUUCCCCCGGGCUAAGAAGUGUGACUGCAAACCUUGUGCCUUUGAAUCCCUCCCCCACACCGCUCUCUGUCUCUCUCUCCCUCUCUUCCUUUAUCUCCUGCGUGGAGCGUUCGAGAUGUUUAAAAGAAGCAAAAGCGAAGUUUUGGUGGACGAUGAAACGUCCGAAGGAGAGGAGGACGCGCCCUGGCAUCGGGAGCGCGCGGAUAAGGUGAGCUCGCGGAUGGAGUGGAUCAAACAAAAGACAUGUAUUUAGCGACCGGCUCGAUAAAGAAUCCGAAGGAACAGAGGAAGUGCUGGGCCCCUCAACUAAGGUACACACACACGCUCAUGCACACACUACUUAUAGACCCAGUGCGUGUACAAUAGCUAAAGGUUCUGUCCUGAUAACAUGGUCUCAGUGGGUUACAAAAAUGUGUUUGUGAAUUUUUUUUUUUUUUUUUAAAUGUUCGUUAGUGGCACGUAAAUAUGAUCCUCUCGUGAGUUUGCCAACAGUCUCCAGGAGAAGUCUGUGGUUGGUUGAAUAUCUCGGUUUAACCCAUGACCCGAGCACCACGCUGCUCUUUCCUAAUCAGGACGCGCCACUCACGGUAAUGUCUGAUAUGAACACGCACUCACAAACCGCCGCGUUCCCGAAGGAAAGUCUGCGUCGUAUGAUCUAACGUAAGGCUGGAGGUGGACACCCGGAGUGCGGGAUAUUUCCGCAUCUAGGUCAACAGUUUCAGAUGAAUGAGACUCGUCUUCAGGCGGUUUGGCCCUGUUUCGUGAAAGAGGAUGUUUGUGUGAUUUGACUCGUCUGGUGUGUGUGUGUGUGUGUGAGCGAGCGUGUCCGCUGUAAUCUGCAGGACGCAUUCUUUCACAGGCUGGACCAAAGCAAAACAGUUCUGGGAAUAGCAACAGGCAUGUGUUGUGUCUGCUUUCACAGGCGCUGCAGGUUCUCACAAAAAGGUUCCGCACGAUCAAACUAAACAGCGCUACUCACGACAAUUCAUCGCGGUUAUUCUUUUCAUUUGGGACAAAACAGUGGGCUCGUUAAUCAACCGAUUAAACGCCGUUUUUUAUUUCACACCUUACCCUGCAUCGUGGUUUCCUUCGAAUGUCCCGGGAUAAUUGAAACCGGCCGUGUUAAUCGCUUAAUUAAAUAUGAACACGAUUAAAUGUAAAUUCAGUUAAUUAUGCCGUUGGAGUAUGCAGCUGUGGAGAUCACGUCAGAGCUCUAACCCACUUUGUCUUCUAAGAUCUAUAACUCUAAGGGAUAUAUAGCUUUAUUUAUUUAUUUUUUUCAAUUAGUGCAAGUGAGUAAGUAAACCUUUUUAUUUAUAUAGGAGUUUUUGAAACCAAAUUUUGCACAAUAAUAAUAAUUAAAAAAAAAAAAAGAGUAAAAGAAUAAAGUGAAAUUUUAAAUAAUAAACUAGUGUAAGUAAUUUUAGGGCUAAUUUAAGAGCUUGGUGAAAAAUGGAAAUAAAUAAAUAAAAGUUAGUGUUUUAAAUUGUAACUACAUUUUUGCCAAACUGCUCCUUUAGGUUUUUGCCCUUUAGGUUAGGGUGGGGAGCUAGAAUCCAGGAAAUUCACUUCUAUAGUCACUUCUAUUGUACAACACAAAGAUAAAAUCAUGAUAAUGAUUCAAAUGUUUGAUGUGAAAUUCAGACUAACACGUGUGGGUGUACAAAAUACAGUACAAGUGAAAUAAAAUAAAAUAAAACCGUCUGCAGAUUUACCCACAAGGCUUAAACAUGUCGAGAAAUCAAAGGGAAAGCCAUCCCAUAUACGCAGUUGAUUUGUUAAGACCGUUAAAAUAGUGUUAGACCUUUUAUUAUUUAUUU
ensembl:lncRNA